rnacentral:rRNA from 1 species
CGCCUUGCCAGCCCGCUCAGAACUUAAAGGAAUUGACGGGGGCCCGCACAAGCGGUGGAGCAUGUGGUUUAAUUCGAUGAUACGCGAGGAACCUUACCUGGGCUCAAAUGUAUGUUGACGUAUUCUGAAAGGGAUACUUCUUCGGACAAUAUACAAGGUGCUGCAUGGUUGUCGUCAGCUCGUGCCGUGAGGUGUCGGGUUAAGUCCCAUAACGAGCGCAACCCCUAUCAUUAGUUGCCAUCAGGUCAAGCUGGGGACUCUAAUGAAACUGCCUACGCAAGUAGUGAGGAAGGUGGGGAUGACGUCAAAUCAGCACGGCCCUUACGUCCAGGGCUACACACGUGCUACAAUGGCCGGCACAGCGGGAAGCGGAGGGGCGACCCUGAGCGGAUCCCUUGAAAGCCGGUCCCAGUUCGGAUUGCAGUCUGCAACUCGACUGCAUGAAGUUGGAAUCGCUAGUAAUCGCGGAUCAGCCAAGCCGCGGUGAAUACGUUCCCGGGCCUU